AUAAAUUCUGUCAUCAAUACCGACGUUCUUAAUAUCAAUCAAUAAUUAUUUUAAUAAUAUAAUUAUAUAGUAAAAAAUAAUAAAUUAAAGAAUAUUAUAUAUUAUUUAAAAAAUUUAAUCAUACUCAGGUAUAUUAAUAUCAAUAUUAUUAAUAUAUAUUAUAUAUUAAAUAAUAAACUUUAGUAUAUUAAUAUCAGUAUUAUUUAUACGAGGUGCCUACAUG
rnacentral:lncRNA from 1 species